UACGUAGGGUGCAAGCGUUGUUCGGAAUCACUGGGCGUAAAGGGCGCGUAGGCGGCUUUGUCAGUCGGGGGUGAAAGCCUGUGGCUCAACCACAGAAUUGCCUUCGAUACUGCAAGGCUUGAGACCGGAAGAGGUCAGUGGAACUGCGAGUGUAGAGGUGAAAUUCGUAGAUAUUCGCAAGAACACCAGUGGCGAAGGCGGCUGACUGGUCCGGAUCUGACGCUGAGGCGCGAAAGCGUGGGGAGCAAACAGG
rnacentral:rRNA from 1 species